GCACAGAUAAAAGUUACUCUGUCAACAAUGAGCUUUCCCAUUUCUCCUCCUCCCAACCCUCUCCCUUGUCGUCGUGUCGUCUCCUGAGGCUGGCAUUCUCAAACCCUCAUUUCUUCUCAACUCCUGUCAACCCGACUCCUGCUUCCCGGAUUCAGUCGUCCUCUAAUCUAGAGCUCAUGCUCGAUAACAAGGAGGUCGAUGAUGCUCGUAAGGCUUGAUUUUUGUUAGAAAACGGCGCAUCUCAUCUACAUGUCAUAUUGAUACUGGACGGGGUACAGUCUCCAACUUGUUUUUGAAUCCAUUUUUGAGCAUGUGGAAGGGUUCGAGGGAGUGCUGGCUUGUUAUCAUCAUCAAUUUUUUAUAGACUUUGUAGAAUGAACGAAAUAAUUAUCGUUUUCGUAAUCGUAAAGACCAAGGGUGAUCUCUCUGGUUUAGUAA